rnacentral:rRNA from 1 species
GUAGGUGGCAAGCGUUGUCCGGAUUUAUUGGGCGUAAAGCGAGCGCAGGCGGAAUGAUAAGUCUGAUGUGAAAGCCCACGGCUCAACCGUGGAACUGCAUCGGAAACUGUCAUUCUUGAGUGCAGAAGAGGAGAGUGGAACUCCAUGUGUAGCGGUGGAAUGCGUAGAUAUAUGGAAGAACACCAGUGGCGAAGGCGGCUCUCUGGUCUGCAACUGACGUUGAGGCUCGAAAGCAUGGGUAGCGAACAGGAUUAGAUACCCUGGUAGUCCAUGCCGUAAACGAUGAGCGCUAGGUGUUGGGGACUUUCCGGUCCUCAGUGCCGCAGCAAACGCAUUAAGCGCUCCGCCUGGGGAGUACGACCGCAAGGUCG